rfam:Candidate division WOR_3 bacterium SM23_60 WORSMTZ_47801, whole genome shotgun sequence.
CAGUGAUGCCAAACACCUUGAUGCACAGGCAGGGCUCGAGUCGUCAAUGGGUGCUACGCUCGCUGCACUUGCUGGUAUUAAUAACAUUUCAGGACCGG